rnacentral:misc_RNA from 1 species
GGAGGUGCUCGGGCAAAUCCAGGUAAGAAGCGGGAAAUUGAAGACAACUCAAGGAAGAUGGGUGCAUUGUUCAGCAAACUGAACAGCGGGGAUAUAUCUAAAAAUGCUGCUGAUAAGCUUGGUCAGCUCUGCCAAGCUCUGGAUACUGGUGAUUAUGGUCGUGCACUACAGAUCCAGGUGCUUCUUACCACAAGUGAAUGGGACGAGUGCAGCUUCUGGCUGGCUACGCUGAAACGAAUGAUCAAGACGAGGCAGAAC